CGAAGUGAUCAUGGAAAAUAUAGGAUUAGGUCUACAAGCAGUGUUGUCAGAUAAGGAUUAUGUUUUUAAGCCAAACACACACGAAACCGCCUAACUUUCUUGGCAGUUAACAGACCAAUCUGGCGACACUGACUUGUCUUAUCAUUUCUGCAGCCUGCUGAUUUAAACAGACGCACAGUUGUUGCUUCAUUAAUCACCAGCUAAAUUGGCUAGUAACUUUAAUGUUAUGUUACCCGCCAAAGUUAAUUUUUACCCACAUUUGGUGGGUUGGCAGGUGUCAAUUUAAAGCCCUGGUACUGUAAUAUGCUGUUACAGUU